AUUCUGCCCAAGCGGGGAAGGAUGAGAAGCUUCGACUAAGGUUCGACUCGAGCGCCAGCGAGAGAGCGUUGCCGCAGGCAACGACCCGAAGGGCACUGCU
rnacentral:sRNA from 1 species